UAAGGAAUAUUGGACAAUGGUCGGAAGACUGAUCCAGCCAUGCCGCGUGAAGGAAGAAGGCGCUCAGCGUUGUAAACUUCUUUUGGACGGGAACAAAACCACCUACUUGUAGGUGUCUGAGGGUACCGUCAGAAUAAGCACCGGCUAACUCCGUGCCAGCAGCCGCGGUAAUACGGAGGGUGCAAGCGUUAUCCGGAAUCACUGGGUUUAAAGGGUGCGUAGGCGGCCCGAUAAGUCAGUCGUGAAAUCGCUGGGCUUAACCCAUGCAACUGCGAUUGAUACUGUCGGGCUUGAAUCAGGUUGAGGCAGGCGGAAUGUGACAUGUAGCGGUGAAAUGCAUAGAUAUGUCAUAGAACACCGAUUGCGAAGGCAGCUUGCUGGACCUUGAUUGACGCUGAGG
rnacentral:rRNA from 1 species